GUGUCAGCCGCCGCGGUAAUACGUAGGUGGCGAGCGUUGUCCGGAAUUACUGGGCGUAAAGGGUGCGUAGGCGGAUAUUUAAGUCAGAUGUGAAAUCCCCGGGCUCAACCCGGGAAUGGCAUUUGAAACUGGAUAUCUAGAGUGCAGGAGAGGAAAGCGGAAUUCCUAGUGUAGCGGUGAAAUGCGUAGAUAUUAGGAAGAACACCAGUGGCGAAGGCGGCUUUCUGGACUGUAACUGACGCUGAGGCACGAAAGCGUGGGGAGCAAACAGGAUUAGAUACCCUGGUAGUCCACGCUGUAAACGAUGAGUGCUAGGUGUAGGGGAUUUCGACAUCCUCUGUGCCGCAGUAAACGCAAUAAGCACUCCGCCUGGGGAGUACGGUCGCAAGACUAAA
rnacentral:rRNA from 1 species